rnacentral:rRNA from 1 species
GAUGAACGCUAGCGGCAGGCCUAAUACAUGCAAGUCGAGGGGUAGAAGAGGCUUGCUUCUUUGAGACCGGCGCACGGGUGCGUAACGCGUAUGCAACCUACCUUCAUCUGGGGGAUAGCCCGGAGAAAUCCGGAUUAAUACCGCAUAAAAUCACAGGAUGGCAUUAUCCAAUGAUCAAACAUUUAUGGGAUGGAGAUGGGCAUGCGUGUCAUUAGCUAGUUGGCGGGGUAACGGCCCACCAAGGCGACGAUGACUAGGAGAUCUGAGAGGAUGGCCCCCCCACACUGGUACUGAGACACGGACCAGACUCCUACGGGAGGCAGCAGUAAGGAAUAUUGGUCAAUGGAGGCAACUUUGAACCAGCCAUGCCGCGUGCAGGAAGACUGCCCUAUGGGUUGUAAACUGCUUUUAUUCGGGAAUAAACCUUAUUACGUGUAAUAAGCUGAAUGUACCGAAGGAAUAAGGAUCGGCUAACUCCGUGCCAGCCGCCGCCGUAA